GGCGGCUCGCGUGCCGGGGUGGGGCCGCCCUUCCGCGCGCCGAGCCGCCGGUCCCCCGAUGCCCGCGCCGGCCGCCGCGCCGCCGCAGCUCCUGGCCCGGGCACGCUCCCCCGCGGGCGUGCCCGAGCUUCCGCCUCGCAGGCCCGUAAUUCCCUGGGUUCCUGGUGUGCUAAAGCAGCCCUGAGCCUUGGGUGAAAGCGCGUGGCUGGGACCUGUCGCCUGUGUGGCUCACUGCGUUGCUGUGGGAUGUACUAGUGAAGCCAUCCCGGAGGGUCUCUUCCUGGGACGGAGACAGACUGUCCAGGUUGCUCGUGGUUUCUCAGGCCGCAGACGAUGAUCCCUCCCGGGGACUGCGUGUACGCGGGGAGGACGAGGCGGAGGCCCAUCCAGAAACAGAGGCCUGCCUUGGGGGCUGAGAAGUCGAACCCUUCCAAGAGGCACCGGGACCGCCUCAAUGCCGAGCUGGACCACCUGGCCAGCCUGCUGCCCCUGCCCCCCGACGUCAUCUCCAAGCUGGACAAGCUCUCGGUGCUGCGCCUCAGCGUCAGCUACCUCAGGGUGAAGAGCUUCUUCCAAGGUAGGCGCCUUUCCUGGGCCACUGGGGAGUGAGCCUGCGGCUGCCCCACGUGUGCCCCUCCCUGCGCACCUGCUGAGGGAAGUGGCCGGCUGGCUUCUCGGGUGGCUGUCCUCCAGCACUCGGGUCAGGUGCCUUCUGCAGGUGUGCAUCUCGCAAGUUGGGCUUGCCGAGUGCAGAGGAAGCAGCCAACCCUGGUGGGGGGCUCAGGGCUCCCCCAGCCCAGAGCUUUAGGGAAGGAGUGAGCACUGAGCCUGGUGGAGGAGCAGGGCCGGCCACGGUUGGAGGCCCAGGGUCUGGCUGCCGGCUUCUGUGCUUCGGUGCCCUCCUACCACCCACGCUCUGGACCAAGGCACUUCUUAGCAUUCGACAGGCAGCCUAGGAGUCCCUGUACCUGGGGGCGGGGCCUCCUCAGAGCUUGGGCCCCCACCCCUUCCAUGGGUAAUGGGAAAAGUCCCUGGGCAUUUUGUACUGGGGGAGAACAGUGCCACCCCUGGACCUACUCUGGGUUCUGGCCCUGUCCGUUUCUUCUGCAACCCCCUGGAGGUCGUCCCCAGCAGGGGCUCUGCGUCCUCCCAUCAGCCCACCUUCAGGACUGUCCACGCUUGUGGCCGGGUCCUGCCUGUCCUGAAACAGCCUGAAUUUCCUUACCUUCCCAGGUGUUCAUACAGUAACCCUGGGGCCGUGGGUCUCUGAUGGGCUCAAGAAAACCUGCAGACGGGAGAGCGAGGCCUUUGUUUAGCGUUGUCCAGGUGGGAGGAAGCUGAGGCUGACAGCCCAACAGUGGUUUGAAUUGCAUUGUGUUUAUGUUUUUGUUUUUUUUUUUUUUUGACAGGCAGAGUGGACAGUGAGAGAGAGAGACAGAGAGAAAGGUCUUCCUUUUGCCGUUGGUUCACCCUCCAAUGGCUGCCGCGGACAGCGCGCUGCAGCCGGCGCACCGCGCUGAUCCGAUGGCAGGAGCCAGGAGCCAGGUGCUUUUCCUGGUCUCCCAUGGGGUGCAGGGCCCAAGCACCUGGGCCAUCCUCCACUGCACUCCCGGGCCACAGCAGAGGGCUGGCGUGGAAGAGGGGCAACCGGGACAGAAUCCGGCGCCCCGACUGGGACUAGAACCCGGUGUGCCGGCGCCGCAAGGCAGAGGAUUAGCCUAGUGAGCCGCGGCGCCGGCCGGUUUUUUUUUUUUUUUAAAGAUUUAUUUUAUUUAUUUGAAAGGCAGAGUUACAGAGAGAGGUAGAGACAGAAAAAGAGGUCUUCCAUCUGCUGGUGCACUCCCCAAAUCGCCGCAACAGCUGGAACUGAACAGAUCUGAAGCCAGGAGCCAGGAGCUUUCUCCGGGUCUCCCACAUGGGUGCAGGGCCCAAAGACUUGGGCCAUCUUCUCCUGCUUUCCCAGGCCACAGCAGAGAGCUGGGUGGGAAAUGGAACAGCCAGGACUCAAACUGGAGCCCACAUGGGAUGCUGGCACCGCAGGCCAGGGCUUUAACCCACUUCACCACAGCCUCGCCCAAGUGGGGCCUCUGGCAGACGGGUCGAGUGGCUCUUCACGGUCAGCCCGAGGGCUCAGGGUGGUCUGGGCUCCUGAACUGGGUGCUGACCGGGGAUGUUGUGCUUCUGUAGCAGAAAGGGAUCAGCCUUGGCUUGCGUGACGCUGUCAGUGUUGGGGCCCGCUGGCUUCCACACUCCUGCACACUCCCUAACGAAGGCUGUUGCUGUGGGGAUGCGGGAGAGGGUGCCUUGCACUGACUGUGAGGGGAGCCCUGUGGACACGCGGCCCUGCCAGAGACCCUUGCUGGCUCCCCUCGGACCUCUUCCUGAGGUCCCCACCAGCCCCGCCCCCACUGGACCUGGAUACAAAAGUGUUAACGGUGCCUGCCUCUGAGUGAGAGGCCCAGCAUGUUUCUGCUGUGCCUUCCAGGUUUUCCGUUUCAUACAGAAAUUGUACUGAUUUGUGGUUUUAUCUCCCUCCUUCCCUGGCCUCCACAUGAGGAACCCCUACAGGUCACUCUCAGCUCCAGGUGGUGCUGGUGUCCAGCCUGGUGUCACCACGGGGCGGGGCGCUGUGCUUUUCCAGGAAGGCUAAGGGGUGAUGGAGCCGAGACGGUUGCACAAGACACCCUGAGUCGUCCUGUGCUCGCCUGUGUGUGGGACUGUCCCCAAGGCGCCCUUUGUAUGUGCAGACUGUGGGCUGAGUUGACCCGGCCACCCUGAGGGCAGCAGGUAGGGGCAGCCUAGGCCAGGCUUGCAGUUGCCCAGCCGAGGGGACUCCCAUCUGGACCUGCAGGUUGCUUUCUUCCCACUGACCCUGGCCGGGAGACUAGGAGAGAGUUGCUGGGUCACUUCCUGUCUGGACAGGUCCAGCUGUGCCCAGCCAUGCCAGGCCUGGUGACCUCAGAGAGGCUCUGAUUCUGCUGUUUCCAGCGAGUUCAGACAGUGUCCGAGCGUCCACCUGCAAGCGAGCAUGGUCUUCCCGCCCUUCCUCUGGGGUGUGAAUCGGUGGUCCCCUGGGGUGUCUGUCCGCCUUGCUGGCUCUUAGUGGGCCACGGGCUUUAAGAGAGCCUCAUGGCUGUCUCAGUUGGUAAAACACUGAACUUCCAGAUCUCUCUCUCACAUCUUCUACUCGGCUUCCAAGCUUUCUAUGCCCUUCAAGCUGUGCACUUUAGAGAAAAUUCUAAAAGUCUUUCCUGACUUCAUUUCAGUGUGUAGUUAGAAAAAUGUGAAGCUAUAAAAAACUGGAUCUUAAUCUUUGCCUGUCUCAGAAAUGGACGAGCUAAUUUCAUUAAAGCUUCCAUAAAAGCCGCUUUGGGAAGUGCAUGAACGGGGAGGUCUCAUCCUCAAAGGCUGGGGACGGCCUGGGACUCGCUGUUGACUCCGUGGACUGGUAAACAGCAGUGGGCUGCAUUUUGCUCUUGUUGCCCUGGUUUGUAGGGAGCAGGGGCUGACACUUUUAUUGGACUCACACGAGCCUCCUGCUUCUGUCUCCCCUGUGGCCAACUGCUGGGGUUGGGAUUUUCCACUCUUAUAAACUUUGCUGUUCUCAAAAGGGGAAAUUCGGGGCUCAAACAAAAGUGUGAGGGGGUGGACUUGCUCCGAGAAGCAGAAGGAGGCUGGGCAGACGCAGGCCUCAGCUGUGUCUGCUGUCCCCAUUGCAGGGCAGGGCUCAGCCCUGGGUCGGAGCCGGGAUGCUGACCCUGAGCAGACAGCGAGAGUCAGAGAAGCUCUGAGCCCCGAACUAAGUCCAGCUGCGGUUGGAGGCACUGUCACGGCAAAAGCACCACAGAGCCCACUUGUCUGGAGGUCCUGUCUUCCCAGGGAGACCCUGUGGUCAGGGAGGGGAGGCCGAGGAAAGGUGCCUAGGAGUAGACAACCUCAGGGCACUGAUGACCAGCGGCUGAAGGCCCUCCCAGGCCCGGUGGGUGGACCAAGUCGUUCCAACGAUGACUCAUGGGGACAGCAGUGUUGGUCAGGGCAAAUGGAUGGGUGUUCUUAUGUUGGAGGGGGAGUGCCUGGGGUGGGGGGUGGUCUCAGAAAACAAACAGCAGAGGGAGCGGACCACUUCCUGGACACCUGCAGCCCUUCCUGCUCCGUCCCCCUCUGUCAUCCACAUUCCCCGUGGUGGCUUGGGCCCCUUCCUGAGUCCAUCCCCAGGAACUUGAUUGCACACACACACUGGGAGUCAUGCUCAUCGGGGCCGAGUGGGGUUUGGGUGGGAUGUGCACAGAAGCCCCGUGGUGUCACGUGGGGUUUGGGUGGGAUGUGCAUGCAGAAGCCCCGUGGUGUCACGUGGGGUUUGGGUGGGAUGCAUGCAGAAGCCCCGUGGUGUCAUGUGUGUGUGGAAUGCCACACUGAGCGGCGUGUCCCUGAGACCCAGGAUGGUGGAGCGAUGGGCGGCGGGUGCUGGCUUGUUUCUGCUGAGCGCGUGCCCUCCUCUUGAUCCUUGUGCUGUGAGUGGCUGUGUCCCCUAGAAAAUGAGCUGAAGUCCCCGGCGUGGUUGUCGGUGGAGAAGAUUUAAUGAGUCCUGCUCUGCUGGGCUGGUGCCCUGGCAAGAGGAGGCCCUUGUGAGCACCCAGCAGGGAGAGCUCUCACCAGAGCUCAGUCAGCCAGCAGCUGAUCACGGAGUUCCAGCCUCCAGGACUGCGGAAAGAAACUCCUGUGUUUCAACUGCCAGUCUUAAAAUUUGUUAAGGAUUUAUUUAUUUAUUUGAAAGGCAGAAAUACAGAGAGAGGGAGAGAGAGAGAGAGAGAGAGAGAGAGAGAGAGAGAGAUUCUAUCUGCUGGUUCACUCCCCAAAUGGCCGCAGUGGUCAGGGCUGGGCCAGGCCAAAGCCAGAGGCCAGGAGCUUCUUCCGGGACUCCCACAUGGGUGCAGGGCCAUCUUCCACCGCUUUCCCGGGUGCAUUAGCAGAGAGCUGGAUCAGAAGUAGAGCAACCGGGACUUGAACCAGCACCCAUAUGGGGUGCUGGCACUGCAGGUGGUCGCUUCACCUUCUACGCCACAGCACCAGCCCCUGUCUGUGAUAGCUUGUGAUAAGCAGAUUCUGAUACUGAUAUGCUUGGUUCUGGUGAACAAAUUCCUGGUAACACGGAGGCAGCUGGGACCAGGGUCCUGGGCAGAGGCUAGGAGAGCCUGGCUCGCAGGCAGCUGGGACCAGGGUCCUGGGCAGAGGCUAGGCGAGCCUGGCUCGCAGGCAGCUGGGACCAGGGUCCUGGGCAGAGGCUAGGAGAGCCUGGCUCGCAGGCUGAGGUAGCAGUGUGGGCAUCAGGAGCCCUCUCGUCCACCUCAGAGAGAGGAGCGCUGUGGAGAACUGACGGUGCACAACUGUGAGGCUGGACAUGGGGCACUCACGUGGACAUGAGGAGCCUGCGCUGCAGACAGGAGGGAGGGGACCCUGCUGUAGAGGCAGAGAGCUGGCCCUUCUGCCGGAAGCAGAGCUGGGGCGUGGGGAGACUGGCAUUGAGCUGAGGUUUCUUUCUUUCUUUUUUGUUAAGAUUUAUUUAUUUAUUUAUUUGAAAGAGUUACACAGAGAGAAAGAGAGGCAGAGAGAGAGGGAAAGUCCCCAUCCACUGGUUCACUCUCCAGUUGGCCACAAUGGCUGGAGCUACGCAAAUCUGAAGCCAGGAGCCAGGAGCUUCCUCCAGGUCUCCCACGUGGGUUCAGGGGCCUAAGGACUUGGGCCAUCCUCCACUGCUUCUCCAGGCCAUAGCAGAGAGCUGGAUCGGAAGUGGAGCAGCUGGAAAUCGAACUGGCGCCCAUAUGGGAUGCCGGCACUGCAGGCGGCGGCUUUACCUGCUACACCACAGCGCCAGCCCCUAAGCUGAGGAGAUUUCUAAGCAAAGUGUUGAAGGUGCACCCUUGCUUCUCCUCGCUGCUAAUAGUAACAUGUGAGAGACAUAAAUGGAACUGUUAAGAGAAGAGGAACCAGAACUUAAAACAUUUGGUAAAUUCUCAGACUUUUCAUAUUACGAAAGAAUCAGUGUUCUGAGAGGACACUAGGAUGUGGAUGAAUAAGCAUUCAAUCAAGAGCACAGGUGAGAGACGAGGUGUGAGCACAGGUGAGAGAUGGUGUGGGCACAGGUGAGAGACCAGGUGUGAGCACAGGUGAGAGAUGGUGUGGACACAGGUGAGAGAUGGUGUGGACACAGGUGAGAGACCGGGUGUGGACACAGGUGAGAGAUGGUGUGGACACAGGUGAGAGAUGGUGUGGGCACAGGUGAGAGACCAGGUGUGAGCACAGGUGAGAGAUGGUGUGGACACAGGUGAGAGAUGGUGUGGACACAGGUGAGAGACCGGGUGUGGACACAGGUGAGAGAUGGUGUGAGCACAGGUGAGAGAUGGUGUGAGCACAGGUGAGAGACCGGGUGUGAGCACAGGUGAGAGACCAAGUGUGAGCACAGGUGAGAGACCGGGUGUGGACACAGGUGAGAGACCAAGUGUGAGCACAGGUGAGAGACCGGGUGUGGACACAGAUGAGAGAUGGUGUAAGCACAGGUGAGAGAUGGUGUGGACACAGGUGAGAGACCAAGUGUGAGCACAGGGGAGAGACCGGGUGUGGACACAGGUGAGAGAUGGUGUGAGUACAGGUGAGAGACCAAGUGUGAGCACAGGUGAGAGAACAGGUGUGAGCACAGAUGAGAGAUGGUGUGAGCACAGGUGAGAGACCGGGUGUGAGCACAGGUGAGAGAUGGUGUGCACACAGGUGAGAGAUGGUGUGGACACAGGUGAGAGACCGGGUGUGGACACAGGUGAGAGAUGGUGUGGACACAGGUGAGAGAUGGUGUGGACACAGGUGAGAGACCGGGUGUGAGCACAGGUGAGAGACCGGGUGUGGACACAGGUGAGAGAUGGUGUGGACACAGGUGAGAGAUGGUGUGGACACGGGUGAGAGAUGGUGUGGACACAGGUGAGAGACCGGGUGUGGACACAGGUGAGAGAUGGUGUGGACACAGGUGAGAGAUGGUGUGGACACAGGUGAGAGAUGGUGUGAGCACAGGUGAGAGACCGGGUGUGGACACAGGUGCAGUCAGCCGCCUCAGCAGAAGCCGGGGGCAGAGGGGGACCCUGGCAGUGCAGUCCCUGUAGCCUGACUGAGGGAACCAGAGGCGGCGGUGGAGCCGCUCAGCCCCUGGCCUUGUGCCUCCAGAAAGGUGGCUGGGAGGUCACCAGGGCUACCACUGCCAGUGUGGGCGGGGGCCAGCUCUGUAGCCCCCUUGGCUCGAGAGGGAAGGGCCAGGCGGCUGCCACAGAGCUGUGGGAUGGUGGAGCGUGGACCUCAAGGUCUUGUGAGAUGGGCGAGGCUUUCGACAUCCCACCAAGAAGUUUGAAGUUUGAAAAGGUAGAUGACUCAGUUCCUAGAAAACGUAGCUUACUAAAACCUUCUCAAGAAGAAAGAGGAGGCCGAAUGACCGUGAGACCAUUGAAAUACGACUCGUUGUUUAAAUCUUAAAGUUUUAAGGCAAUUUCUACCAAAUAUUAAAGGAAAAAUAAUUCUACUCUGUACCAAGUCCUGUGGGGUUAAGCUGGAAUUGGAGGUGUUGGUGUGAACUUGUGGUUUCAACAGGCAAAGACGAAGACAUGAGCACGUGUGUGGUGCUGAACGCGUGUGUGACGUGUGCAUGUUCACACACACAGCUCUGUCCACUGGGGUUCUGGGAGCCAUGAAUCCCCUCCCCCAGCAGCGAGCACAUCCGUAUUCAGUCUUGGUUUCUAAAGUCUGCUCACUGUUAAAAGGAGCUGUGGGGGGCAGCCCUUGGUGAGUCCAGGGCAGAUCUGGGGCGGAGCUGCUGCAGAGCGCCAGGCGGGGCCUGAGGGGGAGCCCAGGGCCCUGGACAGCCACUGGCUCCCCCAGCCAGUGCGGGGCAGUUUCUGCACUGAAGUGAAAAGCAGAAGUGGGUAGAAGCAGGGGUGAAGCAGGACCUGUAGGGCCACACUGACACAGGCGAGUGAGCGAGCGAGUGGAUGGGCGUUUUCGGGACAGUAGACUGCUGACUGACAGCGCGGUGAGCUCAGCACGCGCAGUCCUUCCGUCCAGGCAGGAAAAUCAGCAGGUGCUGAAGCUAGUGUGAACCCAGGGUGGGAAGGGGAGGCCUCUGGCACUUACGAGUGGGGACGCCCUCGGGGGGCAGCCUUGCCCGUCUCAGGGACCAGCACUGACGCAGGAGGAAUGACCUCGUGUGGCGCCACACCGCAGGAUGAGUGGGUGCAGCCUGCGUGCCCUUGGUCUCAGCAGACAGCCCCACUCGAGGGCCCCUGAAGGCCCGGCGAGACUGAGCGGGGGUGGGGAAUGGGGCAGGGGCUCGAGGCUGAGGCGCAGAGGGUGGACCCCAGUGCAGUCUGGCAGAGGACAUGGGGGUGCCUGGUGCCGUUCCAGCCCCCUUCCUGCGCGCUCAGGUCAUCUCAAAAUGCAACGCCAAUGGCAAUGGCGGGGUUUCCAGGAGGCUGGGUGCUGGUGGCCACAGGCACCUGGUAGAGAGAGGGGCCCCAGCGGACAGGGCGGCCAUAGCAUGCGGGGGCCUGCGGGGUAGCCGUGGUCCCGCCCAUGUGGGUGCGCAUGCACGCUCAGGGGGCAAGGCGUGUCACGAUGGGGCACGCAGGCCUCUUGUGAAGAGAAAUUUCGGAAGCACACUGCUCACCACCCGCUCUCACAGACGUGGGUCUGCACCGUGGCCUGUGGCUGGGGGGCAGGCAUGUGGACAGCAGUGGCUGUGGGGUUCAGGUGCGAAAUGCGAGCACAACUUGGAUGUGGUGCUGACAGGGAGUAGUGCCUGGGCCAGGGGGCUGCCCUGGUCACAUGGUGCACCUGUGACUUUCCAGUCCUCAGGAGGCCACGCCUGGCCAUGCUUUUACGACAACCCUCCCUGCUGUUUUCUCCUCUGUAUGUGGCCCGUGGCCCAGGCUCUGGUGUGCCUUGCUCUGUGUGUCCCCACGGCAGGGAUGGGCAUAACGGAUGCUGAAGGGUGCAUGAGAGCCCAGGCACAAAUGGCCACAUCCCAGACGGCUGUGUCCAAGGCUGUGAAGGUGGCCAGGCUCUGAGAGGAGCAAGCACCACAGUGAUGGGUGACGUCGAUGAUGGCCGACAGGCAGGCCGACUCCACGCCAGGGUUGUCUGCAAGUCCACAGCCAUGGAGCGUCGUGAGCUCGUCGUUUGCAGAGAGUCGCACUCUGGCACUGUGAUGUGAUGUGCAGCUGGGCGGUGUGUGCACCUGUAGGUGGACAGUGCAGGACUCAGCAGGCCACUGCCCUCGCCCUCACCGCAGAGGACAGGUGUUGGGCAGAGCUGCCCAGGAGACACCGUCAGGGCGUCACCAGCAAGGCCAGGUCACAGCUCUGUCCGUCCCGUGGGUCCUGCCCGUGCCGUCACACUGUGCGCUGGGAGGUUGCCGAGUACGUGUUUGGCUUUUACAGCUGCAGCCCCUUUUGGUGUCUUGAACCGUGGCCUGUCGCUGACUGGCUCUCCGCUGGUUUGUUGCGACAGCAAGAGCACCCGGGCGCUGUGCUGGCCCCAGAUGUUUCACAUCAGGCAGAGAACAUGGAGCCGCGUUGGGCACACAUCACGUCCUUCCUCCCCCAGAGAGCUGUUUGUGGCUGCGCCUUUCACGCUGACACGGCUGAAAGAGGGUGCGUUUCCUCGGCACAAGUGUGUGGCUGGGGUUAGCACAGGAGCCCCGGGGCUCAGCAAGGCUCGGAAACCAGAGACCAGCAUGUGCUGCUGCCACGGCGUCCCGUCCCCGCUGGCUGGGAGGCGUGGUGUGCAGGGGUCUCCCAGGCUGCUGCUGCCUCCCGAGGAUCUGGAAAGACAGACGCAGCCUGCAUUCUCCAAACGCGGGCUCGGGCAACGUGCGUGCGGCUGUUUGUACUCUGGGCACUGUUUGGUUGCUAGAGCAACCGGGGCGUUUUUAACCCCCAUGCCCCGAAGCUGUCACUAAGGACUUUGGAAGGACACAGCCCACCCACACCUGCUGGCUGGGGUCCUUGUCCCCACGUGUCCUCACUCCCCAGGGCUCCUCAGGGGCGACUUCAGGCUCUGGUCAGUGAGCCACGGUCACAGCAGUGGCCUCAGCUGCCCUCUGCCCAGUAUUCUUAGUCCUCAACAUACGUUGUCCACACACACACGCAUCUCACACACAGUGACCAUGCUCAUAUCACACACAGUGAUCAUACACACUUCUCACACACAGUGACCACACACACCUCACACAGUGAGCACACACACACCACACACAGUGACCACACCCAUCUCACACAGUGACCACACACACCCCUCACACAGUGACCACACACACCCCUCACACAGUGACCACAUGCAUCUCACACACCCAUCUCACACAGUGAGCACACACCUUGCCUCCCUAGUACCACCUGGUCCUCUCCUGGGGUCCCUCAUGGUCCUGGGGAGCAGGUGCACUGCACUUCCGCCUGGAUCCGUGUUCCUGGACUACAUGCCCAAGUCCGUCGGAGAAACAGGCAGCAUCAGGGAGGGCGCCGGUGGACGUUUGGUAUGAGGGCCUGGCCCAUGCAGGUGGAGGCCAGCACGUCCUACUGUGUGCCGCCUACAUCCUGGGGACGAGGAGGAAGGGGCGGGGA